AGUGAACGCUGGCGGUAGGCCUAACACAUGCAAGUCGAACGGCAGCACAGUAAGAGCUUGCUCUUACGGGUGGCGAGUGGCGGACGGGUGAGGAAUACAUCGGAAUCUACUUUUUCGUGGGGGAUAACGUAGGGAAACUUACGCUAAUACCGCAUACGACCUACGGGUGAAAGCAGGGGAUCUUCGGACCUUGCGCGAUUGAAUGAGCCGAUGUCGGAUUAGCUAGUUGGCGGGGUAAAGGCCCACCAAGGCGACGAUCCGUAGCUGGUCUGAGAGGAUGAUCAGCCACACUGGAACUGAGACACGGUCCAGACCCCUACGGGAGGCAGCAGUGGGGAAUAUUGGACAAGAGGCGCAAGCCUGAUCCAGCCAUACCGCGUGGGUGAAGAAGGCCUUCGGGUUGUAAAGCCCUUUUGUUGGGAAAGAAAAGCAGCAGGUUAAUACCCCGCUGUUCUGACGGUACCCAAAGAAUAAGCACCGGCUAACUUCGUGC
rnacentral:rRNA from 1 species